AGCCACAGCCAUAUUAGCCCAAAACCAGUUACUCACUGAAGCUAAGCAGGGCUGAGCCUGGUCAGUAUCUGAAUGGGAGACCACAUGGGAAAACUAGUUUGCUGUUGGAA
rnacentral:rRNA from 1 species